UACAGAGGUCCCAAGCGUUGUUCGGAUUCAUUGGGCGUAAAGGGUGCGUAGGUGGCGCUGUAAGUCGGGUGUGAAAUUUCGGAGCUUAACUCCGAAACUGCAUUCGAUACUGCGGUGCUCGAGGACUGGAGAGGAGACUGGAAUUCAUGGUGUAGCAGUGAAAUGCGUAGAGAUCAUGAGGAAGACCAGUGGCGAAGGCGGGUCUCUGGACAGCUCCUGACACUGAGGCACGAAGGCCAGGGGAGCAAACGGG
rnacentral:rRNA from 1 species